CAAAGAAUAGUCUAGUUUAGA
rnacentral:tRNA from 1 species